ACGUAGGUCACAAGCGUUGUCCGGAAUUACUGGGUGUAAAGGGAGCGCAGGCGGGAAGACAAGUUGGAAGUGAAAUCCAUGGGCUCAACCCAUGAACUGCUUUCAAAACUGUUUUUCUUGAGUAGUGCAGAGGUAGGCGGAAUUCCCGGUGUAGCGGUGGAAUGCGUAGAUAUCGGGAGGAACACCAGUGGCGAAGGCGGCUUACUGGGCACCAACUGACGCUGAGGCUCGAAAGUGUGGGUAGCAAACAG
rnacentral:rRNA from 1 species